GGUAUGGAGAGAUGCAGCUUUAGAAGAUACUCUUCAGAAAAGAAAACACCCAUAUUUGUAGGAAGUUUGCACUAGUCACAAAGUGAAGGAGCUGAACAGAAAUGGCAACAGUAACCUCCCAAGGCACUCCUGACUGAAUAUGUAAAAAAUGUCAUCUGACAGCAUAUGAGGAUGUGAAAUGGAUCAGAAUCAAAAAUAUGCAGUGAAGAAUGACUUUAUUUCCACAAAGAAGUUACAAGCUGUGCCAAACCAAGUAUCUGUACUCUCUAAUAGGAACCUGAUAAGAAGCCAUACAACUCUGUGUUGUGAAACUGAAAACUCAGGCUCAGGAAAUGUUGUUUACCAUGGUAAAUAAAUAAAGAGUUCUUUUUUUAUUACCAUAGUUUCUUGACUGCCUUGAGAAAUAGUGCAGACAUGAUUAUCUUUUCCCACCUGUGAGGAAACCUCUUCAAGGGCACUACUUUAAAUGCAAGUGUAACACUGUAAUAUAGGGAAAUAUGCUAGCACAUGAUCAGAAUAAUUGUAGUUUUAGUUGUUUUUCAGUGUAUUAUUUUAAUAGUUUUAUUACUCCCUGGCUGCCUAUUUUAUAUUACUGAAAGUGAUUUCAGUAAGUAAUUAUAUUAGCAAAAUAGAACAUCUUAUUCACAGACAGCCUUCUGGCUGAAAGAUAGCAGGGAAUUAUUUAAUGUUUUGCACUAACUUCAUUUUUUCAUGCCUUUGUUUAGUAUCUACAUACUAUGGUAAUAUUUUCCCAUUCUGGAAAGAUAUGCACUCAGUAGUUACGCAGAUUCCAUUCCAAAGGGUGUAGAUGAGGGUUGUUAUCACUUAAAUUCCUAUGUUUCUUCCUGGUGCACCUUACCUUAUCAGACACACAUAAUGAAAAUAAUUGUGUACUUUGGUCUCCUCAUUACAUCUCUAUAAUAAUAAAAAAUAAUUGUUUGUACUU
rnacentral:lncRNA from 7 species